AUUGAACGCUGGCGGCAGGCCUAACACAUGCAAGUCGAGCGAGCGGCGGACGGGUGAGUAAUGUAUGGGGACUGCCCGAUAGCGGGGGAUAACUACUGGAAACGGUGGCUAAUACCGAAUACUAUCGGAUAACCCAGAUGGGAUUAGCUAGUAGGUGGGGUAAAGGCUCACUUAGGCGACGAUCUCUAGCUGGUCUGAGAGGGUGAUCAGUCACAGUGGGACUGAGACACGGCCCAAGCUCCAACGGAGCCACCGUGGGGGAAUAUUGCACAAGGGGCACAAGACUGAUGCGGCCAUGCCGGGUGUAGGACAAAGGCCUUAGGGUGGUAAAGUACUUUCAUCGGGGAGGCGGUACCCGCAUAAGAAGCACCGGCUAACUCCGUGCCAGCAGCCGCGGUAAUUC
rnacentral:rRNA from 1 species